GACUCUCUUCUGAGGGCUAGUGCUUUAAUUGGUGGACGAGUGGAAGCAUCAGCGGUGCUGUGGGGGUCUCACUGACUGCCCCGACUCGCCUCUUCUUUCAGCAGUGACGUCACGACCGCGCCUAAAGGAUAUCAAAGGGUUCAGCAGGAAGAGGGAUGACAUCAUAUGAUCUCAUGACUAAAACAGUUGAGCCCAGCACAGACCUGCAGAGACAUGACCUGCAGAGUGGGAGACAUGGACACACAUGGUGGGACUAAACACAUGUCAGCUUGUAGGGGCUUCUUUUGACACCAAGAUCCUGUCCCUUACUUCCCUCAAGGGACAUAAAUGAGAGUCCAGGUCUAUGCAAGCCCAUCCAACAAGAACCUUCACCACGACACCAUCUGUAACUUAAUACAAGAUUACAAAAUAACAAAUAUUUGUUUGAACAAUCAUCCCCAUCAUCAAUCAUACAAAAUAUUUUUUUUGUGGUCAUAUUGGUGUUAUCACUGGCAUUAGGGAACAACACAUUUCCCAACAUAUUCUCAAAUGUGUCGUACAAGCAAUUACCCAAUCUGUUUCUACUGUUCUGUUCUGAUCUCCCUGUGACUGCAGGCCUGAAGACAUCUUGAGCCUGUUUUAUUUUCUAAACAUGGUGUUCAGGAAAGGGGAUGCCAGCCCCUUUAGAAUUCUCCUGGGGUGUAGCACAGAAUUGUGGACCCAUCUGAAAAUCCACCCGAUAAUAUCCAUCUCAUGGGGCGGCCAUUUUGCCACUUGUUGUCGACUAUAAAUGACAUCAUAGUUGCCACUCCUCUACACACACACAACCACACAUGCAGACACACACACACAGAAUUUAUUUUCCUUCCAUUUGUAAGCUAGAAUUGACCUUGACCCCUCUGCUCACAUUGUUCCCCUGCAAAUAAAACACACCCCAGGAAGGAUCACACGAACUGCACACAUUUCCGUUUUCACAUGAAGUGUUAUCAGCCACACCCUGAUGUGUGUGUCUGUGUGUUUCCCCAUCACUGCAGGUCACCAGAAACAAGCGUUCACUGGGGUAAAACAAAAGUGGGUUUGCUACCUUGAAUGCUUCAGGUCAUCCUUUCCCUUCAGAUAGUGAAG